AUGGGCCUGCAGAAGCAGAAUUCGUGGUCGCCCGACAUCGAGUUGGACGAGGCGUGGGAGCGGCGGCGGCGCGGGAUACUGGGCAGGAGCCGCCGCUCGCCGCUGCAGCACGCGCAGAGCGUCACCGACGACCAGCUCGACAAGCUACGCGGCUCCUUCGAUCUGGGCUUCCGCUUCAACCCGCCCUCGCAGCGCUGCGCCGCCUGCGACGCCGGUAGGAGCCGCCUCGUCGAGACGCUCCCGGCGCUCGACCUUCUCUACGCCAUCGCCGCCAACACCAACGCCGGCGCAGCCAGCCAGUGCUCCUGCAGCACCUCCUCGGAGGCCUCCGAGCUGUCGCCGAUCGGGAGCCCCCUCUCCAUACUCUCCCCUUCCGUGCAGAUGACCCGCCGGAGACGGUGA
rnacentral:rRNA from 1 species